rnacentral:rRNA from 1 species
UACGGAGGGUCCGAGCGUUAUCCGGAUCUAUUGGGUUUAAAGGGUGCGUAGGCGGCCUAUUAAGUCAGGGGUGAAAGACGGUAGCUCAACUAUCGCAGUGCCUUUGAUACUGAUGGGCUUGAAUGUACUUGAGGUAGGCGGAAUGUGACAAGUAGCGGUGAAAUGCAUAGAUAUGUCACAGAACACCAAUUGCGAAGGCAGCUUACUAAAGUAUGAUUGACGCUGAGGCACGAAAGCGUGGGGAUCAAACAGG